rnacentral:rRNA from 1 species
GACGAACGCUGGCGGCGUGCCUAAUACAUGCAAGUCGAGCGAGACUCUUCGGAGUCUAGCGGCGGACGGGUGAGUAACACGUGGGCAACCUACCUGUAAGACUGGGAUAACACCGGGAAACCGGUGCUAAUACCGGAUAAUCCUUUUCCUCUCAUGAGGAAAAGCUGAAAGUCGGUUUCGGCUGACACUUACAGAUGGGCCCGCGGCGCAUUAGCUAGUUGGUGAGGUAACGGCUCACCAAGGCGACGAUGCGUAGCCGACCUGAGAGGGUGAUCGGCCACACUGGGACUGAGACACGGCCCAGACUCCUACGGGAGGCAGCAGUAGGGAAUCUUCCACAAUGGACGAAAGUCCGAUGGAGCAACGCCGCGUGAGCGAUGAAGGCCUUCGGGUCGUAAAGCUCUGUUGUUAGGGAAGAACAAGUACCGGAGUAACUGCCGGUACCUUGACGGUACCUAACCAGAAAGCCACGGCUAACUACGUGCCAGCAGCCGCAGUAAAAC